rnacentral:sRNA from 1 species
ACAAAUCAUACAUCCAGGCUAAUUAACUAAGCUGCAAACAGAUGAGCUACAUUCGUAACAUGUUGCCCUGGUCAAAAUUAAUUUGCAUAUUUGCGGUUGUUGGCCUUUCUUAUUGCAAGCCAGAUCCCAGGUCGUGUAAGAACUCUACAAUGGCAGAUGUCGUUAUCCUGCUGGACGCCUCAACAAGUAUUGGAGCCAAUAAUUGGAAAACUGAGAUCACUUUUGCCGCAGACCUGGUCAAGUCCUUCAGCGUAGGAUCAAAUGAUGUCCGCUUUGCUGCAGUGAUGUUUAACAAGGACUCCUCCAAGAUAUUUGACCUUAAGUCGUACUCUGCUGCACAGGA